rnacentral:rRNA from 1 species
UACGAGAGGCCCAAACGUUAUUCGGAUUUACUGGGCGUAAAGGGCGCGUAGGCGGCCUAUUAAGUCAUACGUGAAAUCCCUCGGCUCAACCGGGGAACUGCGUGUGAUACUGAUUGGCUUGAAUUCGGGAGAGGGAUGCGGAAUUCCAGGUGUAGCGGUGAAAUGCGUAGAUAUCUGGAGGAACACCGGUGGCGAAGGCGGCAUCCUGGACCGAUAUUGACGCUGAUGCGCGAAAGCCAGGGGAGCAAACGGG